rnacentral:rRNA from 1 species
GUAAACGAUGAAUACUAGGUGUCGGGCGUCAAAACUCGGUGCCGCAGCUAACGCAUUAAGUAUUCCGCCUGGGGAGUACGCACGCAAGUGUGAAACUCAAAGGAAUUGACGGGGACCCGCACAAGCAGCGGAGCAUGUGGUUUAAUUCGAAGCAACGCGAAGAACCUUACCAGGUCUUGACAUCCUCUUGCAAGCGUCCUAGCCGACGCCCUCCUUCGGGACAAGAGAGACAGGUGGUGCAUGGUUGUCGUCAGCUCGUGUCGUGAGAUGUUGGGUUAAGUCCCGCAACGAGCGCAACCCUUGUGUUUAGUUGCCAACAGGUUAAGCUGUGCACUCUAAACAGACUGCCGUGGAUAACACGGAGGAAGGUGGGGAUGACGUCAAAUCAUCAUGCCCCUUAUGAUCUGGGCUACACACGUGCUACAAUGGUCGGUACAACGGGCAGCGAAAGAGCGAUCUGGAGCGAAUCCUAAAAAGCCGAUCCCAGUUCGGAUUGCAGGCUGAAACUCGCCUACAUGAAGUUGGAGUUGCUAGUAAUCGCGAAUCAGAAUGUCGCGGUGAAUGCGUUCCCGGGUCUUGUACACACCGCCCGUCACACCAUGGAAGUUGAGGGCGCCCGAAGCCAGUGGUCCAACCCGUAAGGGAGGAAGCUGUCGAAGGUGAAAUCAAUGACUGGGGUGAAGUCGUAACAAGGUAACCAAG